rnacentral:tRNA from 1 species
GCCGGGGUAGCAUAGCCUGGCAAUGCGCUGGACUCAUGGGCCGGAUAAAGAUCGUGGGUUCAAAUCCCACCCCCGGCA